GCUCCUCUUGGCUGAAGAGUA
rnacentral:snRNA from 1 species